GUCCAUUGGGGCAGCAUAAACCCAGGUAAUUGUUCUUACUCCUUGCAAAACAUUGUUUGUUUUUUAGCGGUCUGUUUACUUGCAGGCAGAAGAAAUGCUUAUUUCAGGCUAAAUCCAACGAGAGGGAAUGUUUCUUUUCUUUUUUUAAAGGACGGAAUAUGGCGAUAUCGAAGAUCCUCUCCCGGAUGAAAAAAGCGGACAAGCACAAAGAGAGAAACAAGAGAGACAAGUCAGGACAACAGAAACCGGAGAGAAGUAAUCUGAACAGAGAGGAGGGGGAUGGAGCGUUGGAGAGGAGUACAUGAGCGCCUUAAGGUGACUGAGCCAAGUGACGCACAAAGGAAUCCAGGCUGGAGAAAGGGAAGAUGGGAAGUUUGGGUUUCACCUGCAGCCCAGCCCCAGCACUGAUGAUCCAGCGGUGAAGAAAGAUUUUAUCUACACUUUUUUUUCCAACCUUUUCGAAAUAGUGAUGGCCAAAUAAAGCUUCAUGAAUCUUUGUUAACUACUUUCUUUAUUUUCUGAGCCCACAGGAUGGUGCUCUCUGUUCAACAAAGGGGUUAAGCAAACUGAAUUGCCAUUCCUAGAGCCUUUUUCUUAAAUCCUAGAGUGCCAUCUAGUGGGCUCAGAAAAUAAAGAAAAAGGUUCACAAAGCUUCACAAAGCUUCAUUUGGUCAUCACUAGGACAAGCUAAAAGUUGUGUGGAGGUGGGAUUAACCUCUAUAUGAUUUCUAAAUAAAAUGUUUACAGGUAGGCUAUUGAUUACAGUCAUAAUUUGGUUAAUUCUGUACAACUACAGCACACACACACACAUACACUAUUGGCACGUCAAUCACAUCUUUUCCUGUAUAUUUUGAUUUUGAAUAUUUGACUGCUGAUGCAAACCACCAACACAGAGUCAGUUCUUUUACCUCAUGUUCAUCUUCUGUUAAUUUUUAAAUGACAUAGCAAAUGAGUCAGCAGGAAAAACAUUUGAUGUCCCAGUUGCAGUACUUACUUUGGGAAGCAAUCUUUGCCUAAUUUAUCUGGUAAUCAAUAACUUGAAAGAUAUUAUUGUGCAGUGCCAAUCAACAAAUAAAUGCAAGGGAGAAUUAUUUUCAGCACAUUUUUCAAUGAAGUUUGGUCCAUCACAGGUUCUACAGUACAUGCGUUAAUAUGCAUAUAAUGUGCUUUCUUUUGCUUGUUGUAUAGUAAUAUUAAUAAUAGUAAUAUUUCAGAAAACAAUCCCAAUUUAACAUCGACUUUCCACCAUUUGUCUGGCGCUUUCAACCACAAUGGAAGAAGUAAGUGAGCAGACAUUAGGUUGGAAUUGUUUUGUCAAGCUAUUCUUUUUAUAAACUACUGCUCUGUCAUGUUUCAAAAAUGUUUCAUGCAUAAUCAUAACAUGCCAGAAAUGGUAUGAAGCAUAUUGUUGUGAAAAGCAAUAUGUCAUAUUAUUAACAGGUUUUUCCGUUGCAUAAUUUAAUGUAAUGUUCAUCUUUAAAUGUUAAUUGUAUUCAUUUCCUGUUUGGCAGACAUAUUGUGGCAGACAAUAAUCCAUUGCACGAAGGAGUAUACAAAAGAUAACAGUAAUGUCUGAUUAGUGAAUUGUAAAUGUAUUUAUGAUGAUUUUAUAAAUUGUCUUGAUAGAGCAUUCAGUCUAAAUUAUUCCUCAUUUAGCUGAAUCUGGCAGACUUCUAAUAUAAUUUAUUGUAAAGCCUGUAUGAAAUAAAAAGCCCAUUCUCUUGAUAGAUUAAUUGAUUUACUCACAGCAAUUAAUGCAAACUGCAUUCUUCACCUGCAGUACAGGUGAAAAUCAAGCAUUCCAACAUAAGACUCUCCAGUGUUUGUGGGUUAAUACAGUACGUGGGACUGCAAGAGUGUUUGUGUGUGUGUGUGUGUGUGACCGUGCUGAUAUUUGACAGUCUUGGACGUGUUCCUAUACUGGCUGUGAGUGGCCUGAGAGAAGCAAGCCUACGAGAGAAUGAGCCAGACAGUUGGCAAAGCCUCUUCUUCCGUAUCAGCUGUCGUUGGUAGUCUGGCCAUGUGGCUGGGACACUGCUUCUUGUGUCCAAAUGCUGGAAAAACCUUGAAUCUCAUGUGCUCUAAUCCCAUUUGUUGGAUUAAAAUAAAGCGUUUUAUUAUGUGUUUAAAGGGAUUCAUGUGUCGCAUUACUCAUUUGCUUUUGUUCUGUCCCUUACAGCCACUGUGACUGCUGGAAAUAUCUCCUGUACUGAAGAAUUUUGUGUUUGAUGCGUCGCCCCCAUCUGGUCACAAGAAUAACUGCACUGCAUUCAUAUGACAGAUAUGUCGUGCUGCUCAGGCGUGGCCUGUUCACUCUGUUUCAUCCCCUUAAUAAUGUUUUGCGGGUUUUUCAGCAGUGUGCUUAGGCCUGUGUGGAUCACAGACACCUUCUAUUGUUCCAAUCCAGCUGUUUGUCAGCAGCAGCACAGAUGUAAAACUCCUAUUGAUGCCAAUGUGGUAUUAGCAAAAAAGUCCAAUUUAUUUCUCUUUUAUAGAACAAAUUGAAAGUCAUUUAUCUCAUAAUACACUUGUGAAAGUUAAGAUUUUCCUCUC